UACGGGGGGGGCAAGCGUUAUUCGGAAUUACUGGGCGUAAAGGGUUUGUAGGUGGCUUGCUAAGUCAGACGUGAAAUCCCUCAGCUUAACUGGGGAACUGCGUCUGAGACUGGCGAGCUUGAGUGCAGGAGAGGAACGCGGAAUUCCAGGUGUAGCGGUGAAAUGCGUAGAUAUCCGGAAGAACACCGAUGGCGAAGGCAACCACCUGGGCCUGUACUGACGCUGAGGUACGAAAGCGUGGGGAGCAAACAGG
rnacentral:rRNA from 1 species